CGUGUAGGCGGUAUGGUAAGUCAGAUGUGAAAGCCCUGGGCUUAACCUAGGAAGUGCAUUUGAUACUGCCAUUCUUGAGUAUGGGAGAGGAGAGUGGAAUUCCCAGUGUAGAGGUGAAAUUCGUAGAUAUUGGGAGGAACAUCCGUAGCGAAGGCGACUCUCUGGACCAAUACUGACGCUGAGACGCGAAAGCGUGGGUAGCAAACA
rnacentral:rRNA from 1 species